rnacentral:rRNA from 1 species
GAUGAACGCUGGCGGCGUGCCUAAUACAUGCAAGUCGAGCGAACAGAUGAGGAGCUUGCUCCUCUGACGUUAGCGGCGGACGGAUGAGUAACACGUGGAUAACCUACCUAUAAGACUGGGAUAACUUCGGGAAACCGGAGCUAAUACCGGAUAAUAUAUUGAACCGCAUGGUUCAAUAGUGAAAGACGGUUUUGCUGUCACUUAUAGAUGGAUCCGCGCCGCAUUAGCUAGUUGGUAAGGUAACGGCUUACCAAGGCGACGAUGCGUAGCCGACCUGAGAGGGUGAUCGGCCACACUGGAACUGAGACACGGUCCAGACUCCUACGGGAGGCAGCAGUAGGGAAUCUUCCGCAAUGGGCGAAAGCCUGACGGAGCAACGCCGCGUGAGUGAUGAAGGUCUUCGGAUCGUAAAACUCUGUUAUUAGGGAAGAACAAAUGUGUAAGUAACUAUGCACGUCUUGACGGUACCUAAUCAGAAAGCCACGGCUAACUACGUG